rnacentral:rRNA from 1 species
UACGUAGGGGGCAAGCGUUGUCCGGAAUCAUUGGGCGUAAAGCGCGUGUAGGCGGCCCGAUAAGUCCGCUGUGAAAGUCCAGGGCUCAACCCUGGAAUGCCGGUGGAUACUGUCGGGCUCGAGUCCGGAAGAGGCGAGUGGAAUUCCUGGUGUAGCGGUGAAAUGCGCAGAUAUCAGGAGGAACACCAAUGGCGAAGGCAGCUCGCUGGGCCGAAACUGACGCUGAGGAGCGAAAGCGUGGGUAGCGAACAGG